GGGAACGUAUUCACCGCGGCAUGCUGAUCCGCGAUUACUAGCGAUUCCAACUUCAUGGAGUCGAGUUGCAGACUCCAAUCCGAACUGAGACCGGCUUUUUGGGAUUGGCUCCACCUCGCGGCUUUGCUGCCCUUUGUACCGGCCAUUGUAGCACGUGUGUAGCCCUGGACAUAAGGGCCAUGAGGACUUGACGUCAUCCCCACCUUCCUCCGGUUUAACACCGGCAGUCUCCUUAGAGUGCCCAACCAAAUGAUGGCAACUAAGGACAAGGGUUGCGCUCGUUGCGGGACUUAACCCAACAUCUCACGACACGAGCUGACGACAGCCAUGCAGCACCUGUCUCCGAUCCAGCCGAACUGACCCCACUGUUUCCAGCAGGUACGAUCGGGAUGUCAAGCCC
rnacentral:rRNA from 1 species